GACGAACGCUGGCGGCGUGCUUAACACAUGCAAGUCGAACGGUUAAGGGGUCUGCUUUUGUGGGCCCUGGAUGAGUGGCGAACGGGUGAGUAACACGUGAGUAACCUGUCCCCUUCUUCUGGAUAACCGCAUGAAAGUGUGGCUAAUACGUGAUAUUCUGGGUCUGUCGCAUGAUUGGUCUGGGAAAGAUUGCGCCUUUGGGUGUUUUUGGUGGGGGAUGGGCUCGCGGCCUAUCAGCUUGUUGGUGGGGUGAUGGCCUACCAAGGCGGUGACGGGUAGCCGGCCUGAGAGGGUGGACGGUCACACUGGGACUGAGACACGGCCCAGACUCCUACGGGAGGCAGCAGUGGGGAAUAUUGCACAAUGGGCGCAAGCCUGAUGCAGCGACGCCGCGUGAGGGAUGGAGGCCUUCGGGUUGUAAACCUCUUUCGCCAGUGAAGCAGGCCUGCUCCUUGUGGGUGGGUUGACGGUAGCUGGAUAAGAAGCGCCGGCUAACUACGUG
rnacentral:rRNA from 1 species